AUUGAACGCUGGCGGCAUGCUUUACACAUGCAAGUCGAACGGUAACAGGCCGCAAGGUGCUGACGAGUGGCGAACGGGUGAGUAAUGCAUCGGAACGUGCCCAGUCGUGGGGGAUAACUACUCGAAAGAGUAGCUAAUACCGCAUACGAUCUAUGGAUGAAAGCGGGGGACCGUAAGGCCUCGCGCGAUUGGAGCGGCCGAUGUCAGAUUAGGUAGUUGGUGGGGUAAAGGCUCACCAAGCCAACGAUCUGUAGCUGGUCUGAGAGGACGUCCAGCCACACUGGGACUGGGAAACGGCCCAGACUCCUACGGGAGGCAGCGGUGGGGAAUUUUGGAAAAUGGGCGAAAGCCUGAUCCAGCAAUGCCGCGGGCAGGAAGAAGGCCUUCGGGUUGUAAACUGCUUUUGUACGGAACGAAACGGCUCUGGUUAAUACCCGGGGCUAAUGACGGUACCGUAAGAAUAGACACCGGCUAACUACGU
rnacentral:rRNA from 1 species